AAAAGUCUCGGCUAAGUGGUAAACGAUGUGAGAAGGCAUAGACAGCCAGGAGGUUGGCUUAGAAGCAGCCAUCCUUUAAAGAAAGCGUAAUAGCUCACUGGUCUAGUCGGCUCGCGCGGAAGAUAUAACGGGGCUCAAGCCGAGCACCGAAGCUAUGGGUGUGUAGCAAUACACGCGGUAGGGGAGCGUUCUGUAGGCCUGCGAAGGUGUGCUGCGAGGCAUGCUGGAGGUAUCAGAAGUGCGAAUGCUGACAUGAGUAACGUUAAAGCGGGUGAAAAACCCGCUCGCCGAAAACCCAAGGUUUCCUGAGCUACGUUAAUCGGCUCAGGGUGAGUCGGAUCCUAAGGUGAGGCCGAAAGGCGUAAUCGAUGGACAUCAGGUUAAUAUUCCUGAACCGACAAUUACUGCGAUGGGGUGACGGAGAAGGCUAAAACAUCGGCAGCAGUGCCGUCCAAGCAUGUAGGCGGAUCUUCCUGGCAAAUCCGGAAGGUCAUUCAACGCCAAGGUGUGAGUGCGAGUCGAACCGCAAGGUAAGGCGAAGUGUUUGAUGCCCCGCUUCCAGGAAAAGCCUCUAAGCUUCAGGUAAUUGUUGUCCGUACCGUAAACCGACACUGGUGGGUGAGCAGAAAAUCUGCUUAGGCGCUUGAGAGAACUCUGGUUAAGGAACUCUGCAAAUUGAUACCGUAACUUCGGAAGAAGGUAUGCCUUUUUUGGUCACAGGACUUGCUCCUGGAAGCUGAGAGAGGCCACAGGUAAUCGGGGGCUGCGACUGUUUACCAAAAACACAGGACUCUGCGAACACGUAAGUGGAUGUAUAGGGUCUGACGCCUGCCCGGUGCCGGAAGGUUAAUUGAUGGGGUCAGCCGCAAGGCGAAGCUCUUGAUCGAAGCCCCGGUAAACGGCGGCCGUAACUAUAACGGUCCUAAGGUAGCGAAAUUCCUUGUCGGGUAAGUUCCGACCUGCACGAAUGGCGUAACGCUGGCCCCACUGUCUCGACCAGAGACUCAGUGAAGUUGAAAUCGCUGUGAAGAUGCGGCGUAGCUGCGGAAAGACGGAAUGACCCCGUGAACCUUUACUACAGCUUUACACUGAACUUUGAAUUUGUUUGUGUAGGAUAGGUGGGAGCCUAUGAAGCAGGGGCGCUAGCUCUUGUGGAGGCAACCUUGAAAUACCACCCUGAUAACUUCGGAGUUCUAACCUAGGUCCGUAAUCCGGACUGGGAACAAUGUAUGGUGGGUAGUUUGACUGGGGCGGUCUCCUCCCAAAGAGUAACGGAGGAGUGCAAAGGUACCCUCAGCGCGGUCGGUCAUCGCGCUUUUGAGUGCAAUGGCAUAAGGGUGCUUGACUGCGAGACGUACAUGUCGAGCAGGAACG
rnacentral:rRNA from 1 species